UAUAUUUGCGGCUCGAAAGAAAGGCUUUCGUGUACAUAACAAUCAUUUACAAUAAUAUUAGAAUG
rfam:Algibacter alginicilyticus strain HZ22 chromosome, complete genome.